AGCAACUGUCCUUUAUGGCCUCCAGCAGACAAUCCAGCAAACCAAGCUGCAUCUGCAGUGGAGAGAAAAAUACAGUGGAAUUUGCUCUGCACUCUCAGAAUAUGAAUGAUGAGCCUCCUGUAUGCAAUCCACCACAUUUGGAAACUCAAAUUUAUUCCACUGUUGAGUCCUUUCAUUCAGCUCAACUGUUUAGCAAAGAUUCUCCACAGGAACAUCUGAGCUAUUCAAUUGUAGGAGUUCUGAAGUCCGGGAAGUCCAAGAUCAAAGCAGCAGCAUGAGCUGAAGUCCUUCUAGCUGCACUCUCACAGAGUGGAAGAUAGAAGAGCAAGAAAAGAACUUUGUGUCCUCCCAUGGCAGAAAAACAGAAGAGAGAAAACCCACUUUCACAAGCUCUUUUUGAGAUAGGAAUAGCACUGGAUAGUCUCAGGAGGAUGGAAAAACCCAAACAACAGCAAAAACAAGAAAAAGACAGAGAAACCACAGGAUUACAGAAAACCCAAAGUAGGAGAGAGAAAACAGCUAAUAACACAGUCAGGGUGACAUGUGCAGGACUCUUCCAAGCAAACCCAAAUAAGGGAGAAAGGAGUCGGUAACCAGGGGUCCUUGAAAUCCCCUUUUUCCAAAAUACCUAAUGAUUAUUCUACCCCCAAAUUAAAGAAACACCCAUAAAGCAGGAAUGCUGGGUGGUCACAGUAGAAGUAGGAAAAUACCAGGCAGCAAUUUCACCUAGCAGCAAGACAGGAGCUAUUAAAAUUAGCUAUAAGGGCAAGGAUGGGCCUGGGCUGAUAAGACCCUAACAAACAGGAUAGGGGCUAAGCAGCUGAGGCUGGCUGGGUCCAAUGUGGCAUUGGAUUUGACCAAUGUCCUACCCCAAACCUAACUGUAGACUAAUUACCAUACUAAAUCACUCACCUACCAAUACCAUGACAGAUCCGAGCCUAUCCAUAUUUAGUAUAAAAAUGGGUGGCACCCAAAUUCUAAAAAUUCUCUACCCUUUUCCUGGAAAAGCUCAUGAUUAUUCUGUCCCCUAAUUAAAAGAGCCCAUAAAAUUAGAAACUCAAACUCCAUUGAGCACAACUCGUUCUCACGAACAUGUGCACACUUCUCUCUUAACUGUAUACUUUCACUUUGCAAUAAAAGCUUCUUGCCUUUUGCUU
rnacentral:lncRNA from 1 species